ensembl:snoRNA
UGGUCAUUACUAAUGCUUUUAGAAUGCAGUUUCCCAUUUGCUGUGGAUAUGACCAUUAAAAAAUAAAAAUCCCCAUUAGGUUUCCUAUAUUCUGCUUAGAUAGCAGUCAAUCUAUUGGGAACAUUU